rnacentral:rRNA from 1 species
UACAGAGGUGGCAAGCGUUGUUCGGAAUUACUGGGCGUAAAGGGCGCGUAGGCGGUCUUGUAAGUCUUGUGUGAAAUCCCUCGGCUUAACUGAGGAACUGCACGGGAUACUGCGAGACUUGAGAUCGGGAGAGGGAAGCGGAAUUCCGGGUGUAGCGGUGAAAUGCGUAGAUAUCUGGAAGAACACCAAAGGCGAAAGGCAGCAUCCUGGGAAGACCCUGACGCCUGAUGUGCGAAAAGCUAGGGGAGCGAAGCGGG